AGCUUGCUCCUUUGACGUUAGCGGCGGACGGGUGAGUAACACGUGGGUAACCUACCUAUAAGACUGGAAUAACUCCGGGAAACCGGGGCUAAUGCCGGAUAACAUAUAGAACCGCAUGGUUCUAUAGUGAAAGAUGGUUUUGCUAUCACUUAUAGAUGGACCCGCGCCGUAUUAGCUAGUUGGUAAGGUAAUGGCUUACCAAGGCGACGAUACGUAGCCGACCUGAGAGGGUGAUCGGCCACACUGGAACUGAGACACGGUCCAGACUCCUACGGGAGGCAGCAGUAGGGAAUCUUCCGCAAUGGGCGAAAGCCUGACGGAGCAACGCCGCGUGAGUGAUGAAGGGUUUCGGCUCGUAAAACUCUGUUAUUAGGGAAGAACAUAUGUGUAAGUAACUGUGCACAUCUUGACGGUACCUAAUCAGAAAGCCACGGCUAACUACGUGCCAGCAGCCGCGGUAAUACGUAGGUGGCAAGCGUUAUCCGGAAUUAUUGGGCGUAAAGCGCGCGUAGGCGGUUUCUUAAGUCUGAUGU
rnacentral:rRNA from 1 species